UUGACGCAAAAAGAAGCAAACGCAUGGGAGUGCAGGGCCGCGGAGAAGUAAUGUCGGAAAAACGCCUAAAACCAACAUCUAAAUCGUUGCUUUGUCACUUUGGUUUGUUAGCACUCUGAGAGAGUUUAUUACUGAAGACGCCUUGAGGCAAAAACAAGCUUUAGAGCUGUUUGCGUCGAACACGAGUGAAUCUGGACGCUGAGCACACCUGCGGCCUGAAGGUCUGCUUAUUCAGCUGCUGUAGCCUGGAUGGAACAGCCAGCUCUCACUCUACAGAUCAAAGAGGCUUUAAACAACAGUGUCAGUGGACUGGGCUCCUCCAGUUAAUCAUCUGAGGCAUCACACAGAGAGAGAGAGAAGAGGAUGAAGUCCAGAGACAACAACAACAAAAACUCACAAGGUGUGGAGGACCCAGAGCCAGAGGACAACACUGAGAUAUUACAUGACUGACAAGGACUCAACCUCAGCCAGCAGAUCAGAGAGAGAAGAGACAGACAUGAGGAUUUACAGGUCCAGAACUUCACCUGCUGCUCUCGCCGCCGCCGCCUCCUCCUCCUCCUCCUCCUCCUCCUGCAGAGACAGAACACAUGUUAAUCACUGAACCUGAUCAAUAAAGCUACUGCUCCAGUUCUAAACUGUCCUU